AUGAAAUCCAGCUCAUCGAUGCUGUCCAUGACAGUGCCGGACUGAUCCUUACUGUGACCAAGUAGAUAGUAAUCCAAGGAGAAAACUGAUCCACCAUACGACCCCGUUCCAAGGUUGAAUUUCACCCAAUGGAAGGACGCCUUUCAGGUGUCCCUUCCAAUCACUAGACAGGAGAACCACUGGUGAUAAAAAUCAAUGUAUCCAGACAGAGAAUGAUGGCCAAGAACCACAGCUCCUGUACUGUGCAGGAAGUAAUGAUCAAUGCUGGAGUAUUAAAUGACAAGAAGAUCUGCAGGUCUGGAAGAAGAAAUGAACAGUGGUAACUAGAAGAACAGCCGUGUCUUCUCUUAUGACUUUUGUUGGGUUACCAGCCAG